rnacentral:rRNA from 1 species
CGGCUAGAUUUAGGUUAGCGGCAAAAGGGUGAGUAACACGUUGGUAACCUACCUCGAGGAGGAGGAUAGCCUCAUGAAAGUGAGGGUAAUACUUCAUACUAUCCCAGUUUUAUUAGAUUGGGAUCAAAGGUGGCCUCUGUAUAUGCUGCCGCCUUGAGAGGGGCCUGCGUCCUAUCAGGUUGUUGGUGGGGUAAUGGCCUACCAAGCCGACGACGGGUAGCUGGCAUUAGCGUGUGGUCAGCCACACCGGGACUGAGACACUGCCCGGACUCCUACGGGAGGCUGCAGUCGAGGAUCUUUUCCAAUGGGGGAAACCCUGAGAAUGCGACGUCGCGUGGAGGAUGAAGCGUUUCGGCGUGUAAACUCCUUUUAUCAGAGAGGAAUGUUUCGAGGUUAAUAGCCUUGGUAUUUGACUGUAUCUGUUGAAUAAGCCACGGCUAACUCCGUGCCAGCAGCCGCGGCAAUACGGGGGUGGCAAGCGUUACUCGGUUUGACUGGGUGUAAAGGGUCCGUAGGCGGCCUGAUAAGUAGAAAGUGAAAUCCUUCGGCUCAACCGAAGAACUGCUUUCUAAACUGUCAGGCUUGAGGUUGGAAGAGGAGAACGGAACUGCCAGUGUAAGGGUGAAAUCUGUGGAUAUUGGCAGGAACGCCCGUGACGAAGGUGGUUCUCUGGUCCAAACCUAACGCUGAGGGACGAAAGCUAGGGGAGCGAACAGGAUUAGAUACCCUGGUAGUCCUAGCUGUAAACGAUGGGCACUAGGUGUUUCUGGCUUAGCCAGGAGUGUCGAAGCUAACGCGAUAAGUGCCCCACCUGGGGACUACGGCCGCAAGGCUAAAACUCAAAGGAAUUGACGGGGGCCCGCACAAGCGGUGGAACACGUGGUUUAAUUCGAUGCUACGCGAGGAACCUUACCAGGGUUUGACAUGCUGGAAGUAACCGCCUGAAAGGGUGGGUGACCUGUAACCAAUCGGGAACCAGCACAGGUGCUGCAUGGCUGUCGUCAGCUCGUGCCGUGAGGUGUUACCUUAAGUGGUAAAACGAGCGCAACCCUCGUUCUUAGUUGCCAUCGUCCUGGUGUUAUGCCGGGAGCUGGGCACUCUAAGGAGACUGCCCACGUUAAGUGGGAGGAAGGCGAGGACGACGUCAAGUCCGCAUGGCCCUUAUGUCCUGCGCGACACACGUGUUACAAUGGUACGUACAACGGGAGGCUAAGCCGCGAGGUGGAGCAAAUCCUUAAAAGCGUGCCUCAGUUCGGAUCGAGGCUUGCAAUUCAGCCUCGUGAAGCUGGAAUCGCUAGUAAUGGCGCAUCAGAACGGCGCCGUGAAUACGUUCCCGGGCCUUGUACACACCGCCCGUCAAGCGCUGAAAGUGAGGAGCGCCCGAAUUCUGACGCAAGUCGGAACACGGUGAGUUUCAUGAUUGGCGCUAAGUCGUAACAAGGUA